CAACUGUUCUCAGGUCAAAAGAUACAAGUACAGUGCCAGGAAACAAACCUUUCAAACCUUACAUGCCGUCACCAAAAAGUGAGCCAAAAUCCAGACGUGGUAGUAAUGAUUAUGAGGCUAAUUACAACAACAUGGAAGAACUCGACAUCUAUGAAAAUGACCGAUAAACAUUCUAGACAUCAAAACAACCAAAAUGUGCUUAUUGAAGGGUUGUCGAAUUGAUUACUAAUGUUUUAAAAUAGCUCAGAUAAAAUAGCUUUUUAUGCAUGCUAAAUAUCACAUUUAAGCUUAGAGUAAUCUUCUACAGUCUACCUAUAGGCUUUAGAUAAUAUAUACUAGACUAUACAUCAUUGAAUGUAUCAUUACAAAUUGAGCUUGUGUUAAAGAAAAUACUUUUGCAUCUGAGUUUUAAAUAUCCUACAGUUGAAUCCUAUUUAAUUGUAUUGCUACAGUACAUGUUGUAUUGUGUAUCAUAUAUCACUUUUGUGAGUUAAUUGUU